GACGAACGCUGGCGGCGUGCUUAACACAUGCAAGUCGAACGGAAAGGCCCUGCUUUUGUGGGGUGCUCGAGUGGCGAACGGGUGAGUAACACGUGAGUAACCUGCCCUUGACUUUGGGAUAACUUCAGGAAACUAGGGCUAAUACCGGAUAGGAGCUCCUGCUGCAUGGUGGGGGUUGGAAAGUUUCGGCGGUUGGGGAUGGACUCGCGGCUUAUCAGCUUGUUGGUGGGGUAGUGGCUUACCAAGGCUUUGACGGGUAGCCGGCCUGAGAGGGUGACCGGCCACAUUGGGACUGAGAUACGGCCCAGACUCCUACGGGAGGCAGCAGUGGGGAAUAUUGCACAAUGGGCGGAAGCCUGAUGCAGCAACGCCGCGUGCGGGAUGACGGCCUUCGGGUUGUAAGCCGCUUUCGCCUGUGACGAAGCGUGAGUGACGGUAAUGGGUAAAGAAGCACCGGCUAACUACGUG
rnacentral:rRNA from 1 species